rnacentral:rRNA from 1 species
CUUUGCGGCAGCCUACACAUGCAGUCGAACGGAAACAUGUCUAGCUUGCUAGAUGAUGUCGAGUGGCGGACGGGUGAGUAAUACUUAGGAACACGCCCUUGGGUGGGGGAUAACUAUUGGAAACGAUAGCUAAUACCGCAUAACGUCUACGGACCAAAGGGGGGAGCUUGCUCCUCUCGCCCAAAGAGUGGCCUAAGCGAGAUUAGCUUGUUGGUGAGGUAAAGGCUCACCAAGGCGACGAUCUCUAGCUGUUCUGAGAGGAAGAUCAGCCACACUGGGACUGAGACACGGCCCAGACUCCUACGGGAGGCAGCAGUGGGGAAUAUUGCACAAUGGAGGAAACUCUGAUGCAGCCAUGCCGCGUGUGUGAAGAAGGCCUUCGGGCUGUAAAGCACUUUCAGUUGUGAGGAAAGCUUGGUGGUUAAUACCCAUCAGGUAUGACGUUAGCAACAGAAGAAGGACCGGCUAACUCCGUGCCAGCAGCCGCGGUAAC